rnacentral:lncRNA from 1 species
GCUAAAAAAUGUAGCAAAAAGAAGUAUUCCACUUAAAACUUUUGGUACAACUGAUCCAGCAUUGACUUCACUAUUGAGAUAUUUGGUCCAUGAUUCUUCAAAUUAUGUAUCUGGCAAUAUAUUUAUUGUUGAUGCUGGUUACACACUACCUGGCGUCCCUAUCUUUUCUUUUCUCUAAGUUAUGCCGCUUGAUGAUCACUACAGUUAGACAUCUUUAUAACAAUCAUCUUCUGUAAGGAUAUGUCACUAUAAUAGUCAAAUUUCCUUUGGAAGCAUCCAUAAUAUAUUUGGGUAAAUGGCGAUUUCCUUUGGAAGCAUCCAUAAGAUAUUUGGGUAAAUGGCAUCGUUAUAAAAUGAUUUUUCUAUGUACUAUAUUAAUGGCUUUUUUUUGUUGUUGUAAUAAGAAAUGUUUCCUAGAUAUUAUGAAAUGUUUCCUUGUAUGAACCAAUUCGUUUGAGAUUAUUUGAUUAUUUCUUGCGUCGACUGACAAAUGCACCCAUUCGUAUAAUAGAUGUGAAACUAUGAUAACUGAAUAUAAUAAAGAUCAUGAUCAAAUAGGUCCAACUAUUGUAUUUCUUUCAUAUUUGUAUCAUUUGUAAACAAAAUGAUCCAGCCACAUGUAAAUGCACUUGUUCUGAUGUGCAAAUUGCAAUUCAGGGCAUUUCUAUGAAAGAAAAAAAAAAGGGCAGGCUAAUGUUCAAAAGAGUUGAAAAAUGGGGGCACAAUUCAGGUCCUUCCAACAAGAAAAUGUAUAAUUUGGACAACAUUUCAAAACGCGCACCUCUCCUAACUAGACGAGAUCCACUAUAUCUUGAGUUACUAGCUGAUACCAUUGACACGAGUCUUCACUGACGAUGCUCCUCCACAAGAUUGACUAGCAAAGGCGAAGCAAUGAUUCAUUGAUUUCUAUUUACCAAAGGCCUAUUAUGAGGCUUUCUAAUGCCACUGCCUUGCUUGGGUAUGUCCUUCAACUUCAUUACUUGAACACUCCUCUGCCUCUUCGCUGAAGAACAAUCAAUAAGGAAAUAUCAUCACAUGUUUUGUAGUGCACGAUUAGUUAUUUAAGAAACCAAACUAACCAUUUUUAACUUCUUGGUAACACUCAUGGAGCUUUCGCUUUGUGGCCUCAAAUUUCAAAUGUUCUGCAUCCUCAUCGGGGUAUUUCAGUUUCUGAUACAACAAAAUGAUGAACUAUUAGUUAGAAAUUGAAGCUUUACAUGAACUAGAAAUUGACACCCUUCGAAUACUUACGUUUUGUUGAGUAGGCACAGGCCUUGUUUGAAUUUUUCUUUUAUUAGAUUUCUCCUGGAGUUUCAUUUCAUGAUCAUUGUUGAGCUUCUGUUCGAGUGUUGGCUUAGUUGGUCUUCCAAUCCCUGAGUUGCCUCUGGGAGGCUUAGUUGGUUUGACGAGUGAAGUUUGUUUCUUUUCUUGCUCGUCCUUUUGGCCCACGCUGAUUAUAACAUCUGAAAGAAAAUCCACUAUUAGAAGAAGAAUCGAAUAGAAAAGACUAGAUUUGAAAUUAUUGUAAGGACAAAAGUUUCUACUCACUUCCAUCAUCAUCCAUGCCAUCAAAGAUCUACAUUAAUAUAUCGGGAAUGAUGAAAACGAGUCAGUUUCAAUUAUGAAGGUAAAGAUAAAAUGAUUUUGUCAAAGAAAGGUAAGACGUUAGGCAUACUUGUGACAACUCGAUUGAAGUUGUCUGAGUAAAAAGGAAAGGUAUAUCCUCCAAGGGCGGGGCAGGAAGUCCUCCGUCUUCUUCAUCAACAAUGAAUGCUUUCGUGGACUCAGAUUUCCUUUCUAUACCAAUAAUUUCACAACUCACCACAUUAGACUUCAAUCAUGACCUUAAACAUAGAAUACAGGACACUAAUUUUGGAGGACCUGUUAAUGUUGCUCGAGCAUCCAUCCACUCUUGUAACAUUUCAAUCCAUCCCCUGUGAUGCAUGAGAAAUGAAUAAACACAACGACACUCGUUUACCAUAUCCAUCCAGUCUAAUCUAAGUCAUUGUAAGGGAAUAAUCAAUGUUUCUACACAAAGACAGUUUCUUACAUAACCACAAUCAAACACAAAAAGUCGCGGUUAAGUUCACAAAGUGGUGAAACUAGGUAUAUGCUUCGAUUACUUAAUAGUACUGAAGCAGAAAACUUGUACAAAUAAGGUAAGGACAUCAUCACACUCCCUGUAAUAUCCACGCUAGAAAUAUGAAAAUCCAACAAAAGCUGCAAGUGAUGACAAAAUGGUGCGAUAACUUAAAAAGAAAUAUUGUUCAAAACUAUAUUAAAUGAAGCAUCAUGUCGUAGUUCAGCAGCAAUAAAGAAAGAGUGACAUACUUGACCAUCUUCCUGACCAGACAUCGAAUAUUUUUGAGUUGUGCCAUCUGAGAGUAUUAACAGACUUCCCAAUUUCUGUGUUCUGAUAUAAAAACAUAUACGUUGAGUACGAAUUGCUGAUAAAAGAAAUUGCAAAUCAAAUAUAUACAUUGAUAAAAGAUCAAACCUGCAGAAUCUCCACGGACAAAGCCAUCAUUUGAAGCCUCUUUAAGCUCUUAUAUAUAUUCGAAUCAGACUGUCAAAAGAACAUAACACUAUCAAAAUCUUACAACUAAAGACCCUCGACUCAAGGAGAAACAUUUUAAAGCAGAUAAAAAGGAAACUAAAUGGCAUCACAUUUCUACAUUGUUUCAUAGACUAACUACAAUCAUGUAUCAAUAGAGACAAAAAAAAAAAUUCAUACUUCAUAAGGUAUAAAAAAAAUCAAGAAAACAUGUACAAAACCAACAAUAGCAAAAAAUAGUUCAAUUGAAGUGAAGUAAAAUCACUCUAUUGAUAUGUACCUCAUUUUGAUUGUUAUCGAUGAUUUUCUUGAUCGAUAGAGCCUCAUUAACAACUCGAGACUCUUCCUCGAUCUCAUCACUCAAUGCCUCAACUUCAACAUAGCUUUUCUUGAUCGAUAGAGCCUCGUUAACAACUCGAGACUCUUCCUCUAUCUCAUCACUCAAUGCCUCAACUUCAACAUUGCUUUCACUUUUCCUUUUUUCAACAUCACAAUCAUUUAACUCUCUAACUAACUCAUUUUUACACUUUCUUUUACCCUUAUCUCCCUCAACAUCAACAACAUUUUCUGCCUUAUCACUAUCAAAACCCCCAAUUGAGAAGAGUAGCUCAUUAAUUCCAUCUCUUCUUAAUUUAAACUCUUUUGGGUGAUCAAUGGCUGCUACUCUUAAUGCAGAUGCAAUGAUAUAAAAAAUAUCCAAGUUUGAUGACCUAAAAUAGGCUCUCCAUUGCCUAAGUUCCCCAGACAUCUUUUUCAUGAUUGUGAAUCAAGAACCUUUCUAAACAACAACCCCAAGCUAAAAAUAUUAACUAUCUAUAACAUUCAGAGAGUAAAAAUUCAAUCUUUAUUAUACCCAAAAACUAAAAAUUGAAUUUUUGACAAAAAACAUUAACUAUAUAACACCCAAAGAGUUAAAAGUUCAAUCUUUAUCCAAUUUUUACACUACCCAGAGACUAAAAAUUGGAUUUCUGAUAAAAAGAUUUAACUAUCAAUAACACCCAGAGAGUAAAAAAUCAAUCUUUAUCCUAUUUUGACACUACCCAAAAACUAAAAAUGGAAUUUUUGAUAACCUGAUUAACUAUCCAUAACACCCAAAGACUAAAAAUUCAAUUUUUAUCCUAUUUUGACACUACCCAGGAACUAAAAACUGGAUUCUUGAUAAAAAAAGAUCAGCUAUUUAACACCCAAAUAGUAAAAAGUCCGUCUUUAUCUAAUUUUGAUACUAUCCAAAAACUUAAAUUUUAAUUUUUGAUGGAAAAAAGUUUGACGAUGUAUCUCAAGUUCUCAUCUAAAUUUAAUGUUAGUUACAAAAUUAAUUACAAUAAUCAAUGACUUGAUUGUUCUACUCUAUGUGGAAAAACUUCAUAAAUGUAAAUUUUGGAAUGUAUAUCUCAAGUUCUUAACUGAAUUUUAGCCUUUUAGGCCUAUUCAUUUAUGCUUGGUGUAAUUUGACAAAUAUUGUUUUGACAUAAUGUAUUAUUACAACAAUCUCACACACAAGGAAACAAAUUAAAGGUCCAUAUGUAUAAUGUCACAACUAAGAGCCAGUUUGAAUUGACUUUUAAAAAUAAUAAUUUUUAAGUCAAAAAUUAAAAAAUUAAACUGAAAUGACUUUUAAGUCAAAAAUAAAAAUAAUGGAGAUCUACAUUUGAUUUUUGACUUAUUUAAAGUUAUUUUUGACCUUGUCAAACACUUCCUAACUUAUUUAAAGUUACUUUUUAUAUUUGUCAAACACUUCUAAAAAUCAAAACUGACUUUAAAGUAAGUUUGACCAACUUUUAAGUCAAUCUCAAAAUUCUAGAUACGCAAACCUACCAACGUAGUUGUUAUUAAUUUUGUCAUGAAAAACUAGUGGUUUACAAGUUAAACGUACGGUAGGGAAAAAACAAACGUACAACAACUUAGUUGUUCUGACGAGAGUGUUUGAAUUAGCUUAAAAGUUGGUUAAACAUACUUUUAAGUCGAUGCUGACUUCUGGAAGUGUUUGACAAAUAUAAAAAUUAACUUAAAUAAGUCAAAAGUGAUUUAAAAUAAGUUAAAAAGUGUUUGGCAAGGUAAAAAAAAAAGACUUAAAAUAAGUUUAAAAUAAUUUAAAAUAAAUCAAAAACCAAAAGUAGAUUUUCCUAUACUUUUUAUUUUGUAACUUAAAAGUCAUUUCAGUUUGACUUAAAAGCUACUUUAAUAAGCUAAUCUGUCACGACCCGAGAGUACCCCCUAGUCGUAACAUGGCGUAUUCGACCCCAAAGGGGUCUUAUACGAGCCACAUAGUCAUUCAUUGCAUUCAAUAAUGAAAAUAGUGCGGAAUAAAAAAAAACUUAUUUACAUCCACACAUUUAAACUUCAUUAAAACAACUUUAAAAACACACAGCGGAAGUCUAAGUCUCACAUGGCCAUCUUAGACACAGUCACAAAACAUAAGUAGGGACACGGCCCUUUACAAUCAAAAGAAGUCUAUUAAGUCUAUUACAUGAACAAAAGAACUUAAAAGUCUUAUCCUCGAAUCCAUGAGGACAUACCAAGUCUUGGAGGAAAGCAAUCCAACACUUCAAACUAGCUAGGAGGGAUCACUUGCCGAAACCUACACUUAUAGUAAAAAUAUGAAGAAUAUGGGUUAGUACACAAAAUGUACUAAGUAUGAUGACCAUGCAAAACAUGCUUUAAAAGGGACAUGCAUUUUGGUUAGAAACCAUGCAUUAUGCCACUUUUUGAAGUACCAUGAAUAGUUGCAUAAAAGACAUACAAUACAAGCAUAAACAUCAAGUAAGUCAUAAUAUUACCUUAAACAAUUUCAACAUGAAAACCUUUACCUUGGACCUUCACCUCAAGAAACCCUUAUGCUAUACCUCGUGCAAUGUAUGGAUGGCGUCCCAUACCACCAUCCAUACUAAGGCACCACAUUAAGGUCACUUAAGGUAACUUAUCAUUCCUUUCUUUCACCUUUGCACAAUAUUCAUACAUAAGAGGUAUAUCAUUAAUUAAGACAUGACAAGGGAAAAUAACUCAUAAUAUAACCCAAGUAUAGCAUGCAUCUCAUAUUAAGCAUUUGAGAGCCAACAUUCUUUAAUAACCUCAUUUAGGCCACAAUUGAAUCACAUACAUUAGGAUUUAGAGAAACUCACUAUGACCCUCUCCAAGCCUACUCGUGCAAUGUAUAGGUAGCAUCCCAUACUACUACCUACACUUUGUAGAACCUAUCAAGAAACCAUAAUGAAAUCUCGCAUGAUGGGAAGUAACCAUUUAACCGACAUAGACCAUGAGAGCUUGUCAUGGAAUCCGGUGUCAUAAGUCCCCACACCGUAAAGAGGUGGUCUACUUGCCUAAGGAAGACCGGUAUAUAUAGCUUAAUGGAUCCACUAGCUUCCUAUGCGGGCACAUAGUUUAUGGGAUAAGGUAGACGAUCAUUGAAACUCAUGCCUAACUAUUGGGGGAGUUUCCAUCUAACCAAAUCCACUCGGUGCUUAGCCAACAUUCCCAUAGAAUAGUUCGUUAUCUUGACAUUAUCACAUAUGAGAGAUUUAUCGAAAAAAAAUAAAAAUUUAAAAAAAUUGUUGAAAUUGUUGAAUUUAAGGUUACUUUAUUUAUUUGUGAAUUUUUUGUGUUAAUUUUAUAUAUUUUUCCUAUUUUUUAAUAGUCAAUUACUCAUUUUCGGGAUUUACCUAAAAAAAUAAAAAAAUUUAAAAAAUUGUUGAAAACGGGUCGGGUAGUUUAUUUAAAAGGGGGGUAUAUCUAGACCUUUUCGAAUAGUUUAGGGGUAUAUUUGACCCUUUUCCAAUGCCACAUGGUAAUGUAAAAAUGACGUGGCAAUUCCAUUUGACGUUUAACGUCCAUAAGGGCAUAUCUAGAUGAAAAGUUGGACGACGAGGGCACGAGUGAGCCAAACUUUAAACGGGGGGUAUAUCUAGACCUUUUCGAAUAGUUUAGGGGUAUAUUUGACCCUUUUCCAAUGCCACAUGGUAAUGUAAAAAUGACGUGGCAAUUCCAUUUGACGUUUAACGUCCAUAAGGGCAUAUCUAGAUGAAAAGUUGGACGACGAGGGCACGAGUGAGCCAAACUUUAAACGGGGGGUAUAUCUAGACCUUUUCGAAUAGUUUAGGGGUAUAUUUGACCCUUUUCCAAUGCCACAUGGUAAUGUAAAAAUGACGUGGCAAUUCCAUUUGACGUUUAACGUCCAUAAGGGCAUAUCUAGAUGAAAAGUUGGACGACGAGGGCACGAGUGAGCCAAACUUUAAACGGGGGGUAUAUCUAGACCUUUUCGAAUAGUUUAGGGGUAUAUUUGACCCUUUUCCAAUGCCACAUGGUAAUGUAAAAAUGACGUGGCAAUUCCAUUUGACGUUUAACGUCCAUAAGGGCAUAUCUAGAUGAAAAGUUGGACGACGAGGGCACGAGUGAGCCAAACUUUAAACGGGGGGUAUAUCUAGACCUUUUCGAAUAGUUUAUGGGCAUAUUUGACCCUUUUCCCUAAUUAAAAUAAAAGGGGCAUAGGCCCAAUAAUAAUAAAAUACAAAGCUGAAAUUUUAGGGCUUUUUGGGCCCAUUUCUCUACAUUUAUACAGCGUAUACAGUGAGUGUAUAUCGUUGUAUCACACUGUAUAUUAGUGUAUUUCGGCUCCCGGGACCUGCAUUUUUAGUUUUCCGGCCCUUUUUGGUUUCAAUUGGACCUGUUCGUCUGCUCCAUUAUUGGUAAUUGAGGGUUGACUCAAGAAAGAGAAUGAACUUGGGCCUCCGUGGUCCGGUUCAAAAUGCAAAGGAGAUGGAUUUGAGUCCAACUUGGACUCCAACGAGAGAAGGAUCAUGUAAAAGAGAGAAAAGAAAAGGAUAAGUAGACAUCUUAUACAAGUAACCAUAUCUAAAUAACAAUAUGCUUUCCUAACAAACAAGGUAGACACCCAGAAUUCCCAACAUAUUAACAAACAAGUAAAUGAGAACUCUUGAUUUGAAAUGGACAAAGAACUUAAGCAAUCUCCAUUUAAGCUAAAGAAAAGAAUAAUGGAGAACUCUAAGGUGUCAUUUUAUGAUAUACAAAUAGAGAUAACAGUUGCAUAGAAUGAAAAAAAAAACAACUAAAGAAGAUUAGUGAAAAUUUUCCACAGAAGAGUAUAGUUAAAACAAUGUAUCAACACAAUUUAAUGAGAUAAAAUUCAUCCAGAACAACGGGACAGAAUCAGAAGGCUACUGUUGUCAAACCAAAAGUUUCAACAAAAUAAGUAUCUAAGGGAAACUGUAGUCCAGAUCAUGAAAGAAAAGCUAAAAUCAAACAGAGUCAUUUCAUGCACAAAUUAUAAGUCGAAGGCUUCCACAACAUAUAAAGAAAAGAGGUUUACAAGCUUUUGAAUUCAACUUAGUCACGUUUUAAUUGAACUGAACAAAAUUGAUUAACAAAUAUAUGAUAUUCACUUAAAAGUACGGCUUAAAGGAAAAGGGGAGGAUGGAAGAUCAUUGCCAUAUAGAACAGUUUAGGAAAAAAGAAACAACACAAACCCACUAUCUUAUGAACAUUAAUCACGACAAAUAAAGUGUGGAGGAGCAUCGAGAAAACUAGUUAAACAGAGGAAAUGAUGCUUAUGUUAAAUACGAAACAACAAUCUUCCCAAAAGGGCAGAAAUCUCAACCAAAAGAAUAAUUCGACUUCACCCCAUAUUUAAAUUGGAGAGCUUUUUCAUAUCAACAAGUUCUAAGUCUAAAUUCUUUCAAUAGAGUGGAAAUUGUAGCCUACUAGAUUUAACAACCAAACCAAUACAUUAAAUUAAGGCGGAAGUUGGAGGCAUAACAAUAUUAACAAAACAAUUGGCUACAAACACAGAAAGCUAUACUUGAACAGUAAAUCAGAUUUUUGCUCCAACUUUACUCAAAACACUUAAAGAGAUCACAUAAGAAGAGACCAAUAUGCUGUCACACAUAUAUUAGAAGCACUAAACCAUUAAACACAACACCAUACUAAGCAUAAAAUCAAUCUAAGAUGGCAUAACGAGUAGUUGAAAUUCAAAUGGAUAUGAAAGGAAAACUUUACACAGCCCACAAGCUUAAGAAAAUAAUAAUCCACAAGAGUAUAUGCAGAAACCAGGAACAAGAUUAGCCUUAAGUUGAAUACUUGCACAUUUUUCAAAUUAAGACUAAGAAGAUUCGCAGAUUUAGAACUCAUUUCGAAGCAACACCCACUGAAAUGGACUCGAAACUAUGCCUAGACAGGUUACCAGCAAGUUAGAACUUGAACAAAUAUCGACUAUGAAGAAGCGCAAACAUGGACACCAUCAUGUCAAAGAAGAAAUACUAGACAAAAAAAAAAAAAAAUACAACUCUGCAAACAGUAGCUCUAGACAGAGAAAUCGCACUAAUGCAUUUGACAUUUCUUAGAUGCAGAAACACGAAUUCAGACGCAUAUUAUCGAACAAAUACGAAGGGUAAACCCAAGAUAAACAUUAAUUUUUAUGGAUGAUUCAAACGAGUAACUGGAAUAUAAUCAAAUAAGCUAAGAAGAUUUGUGACUAUAACAAUAAAAUACUAACAAAAUAAAUAGAGGAACAUUGCUCUAGAUAAUACUCGUCAACCAAAUUCUAACCUAUAGAGACAUAAAACAAAACUAAGAACACAUAAACAGAACACAUAGUAGAACGACGAAUUAACAAAGGUAAGAAAGAAUUUACCUCCUUUUGGGUAGCGACUAAGACGAGAACGAGCUAGCCACGAUAUCGAUUCCACCACCAGAAUGAGAAACCGAGACAACAACAAGAAAGUCAAAUUCAAAACGAAACCGAAACUUGAGUGCCCUCUAUCUUGCUUGUCAAUUUUUAGGUCUAUUUUAGCCUCGAAAACCUUUGUAUUUUCUCUGUAAUGUUGUAUCUAAUGUCUGAGUAUCGACCUUAUUUUUCUACUUUUCUAAUCCAUAUUUUCCAACUCUAUUUUAUCUAACCUUAAACUGAAGGCAAAGAGGGACUUUUAUAGAAGAAACUAAAGUUGAAAUGGGGGAAAAUCGAGUGAAAUUGGGUGAAUUUCAAAUUUGAAGUUCAAACCUCCCUUGAGGAUAAGGUUGCCAACAACUAGAAUUCGUACCAUUCUCAACGGAAUGAGAAUGCUAUCCAUCCGAUUCAAGGGCAAGGACGAAGAGACAAGAAGAUGGAGACACCUGGAUUAUUCCCGUACGGAGAGGAUAAGGGAGAAAGGGAGACAGACGCGCGAGCUGGACUCGGGUCGCUAGAUUGCUGGAUUGCGAUUUGGAUCACGUUUCUGGACUGGAUUUACAGCGUACUGGGUUUGCAAUUUCUGGACUUGGUUCGCUGCUACUGGACUGGUUUUGGGAGUUCUUCGCGAUUCUGCUCACUGAGGAAGAAGAGCAUGCGUAUGGGGGUGGGUCGGGGGUUCUGUUUGGGUCGUGCGUAUGUUGUUGUAUUGUAUUGUUGUAUUUUGUGGGCUGGGUCGAUUGAAUUUGAGAGGAAAAGGCCCAAAACCUUGUCUUUUAAUGAGCUUAAGGUGAGGUCAAAGAUAGGUUAGAUCUUGGACUUUAAGAAAUAGUCAAAUUGAGUUAAAUUAACAAAUUCGGCUAAAUCCCAAAUAAAACGAAUUAAUAUUAAUUAAUUAAUGAGCUUCUUAAUUUCAACGAAAUAAAAUAAUUAAUUUAAUUAUUUAUUAAUAACUCAAAAAUAUAAGUAUUAAUUAACUAAACCAAUUAACCAACUGUUUAAGUAAAACUAUAAUCUGUUUUAGACGAAUUUCAAAUAUUCAUAAAAUAUAAUAAUUAUACACAUAUUUAUAUAAAAUAACAUAUUUAUUAUUUAAAAAAAAAAUAUAAAAUGACUGAAAUUACUUGAAAAAAUAUUUGAAUUUUUAUAAAAUUAAUUAUUCCAAAUCGUUUGAAAUUAAAGAAGCCCCUAUCGUGAAAGGUCAAAAUUGGGUGUCAACAACUGUCCCUCAUUUGACUUGGACUAAUGAAAGAAAUCCGAGGCAAAUGAAAUUGACAAAUCCAAUUUUGACCGACUACCUCUUCAUCUCUUGGAAAAGGGAUUUGGCACAGGCUUUAGGAAUUAUAGCCGAACCCCGAAAAUGGGUUUCCUACAUAUCUCAAGCUAUACGAGAAGUGAGGUCACUUGUUGUUCGAUACGCUUGAUUUGACGCGCGAUUUUGAAAGAAUCCAAGGUCAUCCCGAUGUCGAAUUAUGAAGAUACCGGAAUGCUUGGGAAUAAGAUUUGAGAGCGAAUGUUGGAAUACAGUCGGGUUUCAACAUUGAUUCUGCCUACAUAUCCCUCAACCUAGGGCAUCAGGCUGCUUGUAGUUCGACUCAAUUGGUUGAAAAGGAAAUCUAUUAUGCAAGAUAACCUUUGGUUUCGGAGAAGCGACAAAAUAAAUUGAGUGUGAAAAAGAGGCUUGCAACCUCUUAGUCAUGAAUGUGGCGCGCUUCACAUCCAUAAUUAAGAACUUACAGGGACAUAAUUUCCAAAUCUCUUGGUGCAUUUGUCACUCAGAUAGGAAAACCGCUUCCGGUAGAGACCAAAAAAUUCCGGAAGCAAAACUGAAACCAACAAACCUAAGAAAAACCCACAUGCNNNNNNNNNNNNNNNNNNNNNNNNNNNNNNNNNNNNNNNNNNNNNNNNNNNNNNNNNNNNNNNNNNNNNNNNNNNNNNNNNNNNNNNNNNNNNNNNNNNNUUUUCCUUUCCAUUUGAUGUUAGGAAUUCGUUUUUAAGGCCCGACUAAUCUGAAUUUGUAUUGAAAAAUUCUCUCACUAUCAAAGACAACUUCUUAUAAAUUUUUAGAGCUUGAAUUCGAGAAGUUUGUUAAAUAUGGAGAAGUAUUAAUUACCAGGACAACAUAACUUUUGUCUUUUGAUGAUAAUAAAACUUGAAAUAUGGUCCAUGGGGCCCAUAUUUUGAAAAAUAUCAAUGAUUAGUUUUAUAGUAGAACCUAUGAAUCACAUACAUAUGCACGGACCAUGUUUUUCUAAUUUCUAUUAAAAAAAAAUUAUGUCCCCUAUUCAAAAAAAUUUACUUGUAUAGAUGUCCACAUCUUACCUACCUUAAAAACAGAACAGAAACUUCUAGCAAGUCCCAUAGCUAGCACAAUAUAAUAAUGACAACACAAGUACCAAAAUAUGUUGAGCCAAGGACUCAAAAAAUGAACAAUGUGGCUAACCAUUUGGAGCCAUGGCUACAAUUGGAAGGCAAAGUGGUGUUUGUAACCGGUGCGUCGGCGGGGCUCGGCCGUGAAUUCUGCCUUGACCUAGCUAGGUCCGGGUGCAGAGUGGUGGCGGGUGCUCGUAGGGGGGACCGGUUGAAGUCCCUUUGUGAUGAAAUUAAUACAAAUUCUCAUUUAGUUAGAGCUAUGGCUAUUGAACUUGAUGUUACUGCUGAUGGUACAACUAUUGAAGCAUCAGUAAAGAAAGCUUGGGAUGCUUUUGGUCACAUUGAUGCUCUUAUUAACAAUGCUGGCGUUAGAGGUACGUACGUAAAAAAGUUUAUACCAACAAAAUGUAUUAUGGUUCGAUUCGGUUUUGAAAUUUAUCGAUUUUACUGUCCUAGUUCUUGGUUAGUAAAAACAUGAAUAAAUAAGUAGUUUGGUAUGAAAUUCACAAAAUAUUUAUAUUUAAUACUUGUAGUCACGAUGGAGCUAAAAUACUAAAUGAUAUAUCACAUUUAAGAUUCGACUCAUAACAUGACAUACUUUUUGAACCGCUUUGUCACUAAAUAAAAUAUUUAUUUAUACCAAAGGAGAUUAAUUCAACAACAACAACAACAAUAAUAAUAAUAAUAAUAAUAAUAAUUCAGUGAAAGAGUUACCUGAAGCCGUCUUUCCAAUCUUACUCUAUGAUCAUGCGGCUCUUUUGGUUUUCCUUUCUUCUGCAGAUUAAUUAUUAACCUUAAUUAUUAUAUGACUAAUUAUAAAAGAGGUAAAAAUUGCUCACUACUAAUUUUAGUGGUAAUUCUUUAACCACCAACUAAAUUAAUUAUUAAAACUACCCCACUAAUUUAAUAAUAUAGUUACGAAUAGUUCAAAAUACUCAUUUAGAAUCUAUUGAAAGAGUUUUUUAUGAAAAUAAAAAACUCUUUUACUCAAAACUACCAAAUGAGUCAUUACAUUAGAUACCAAUUUAUCCAUCGUUCCUCCUCGAACGAUCAAAAGAAGGUAAGGGUAAGAAAGGAUAGUUGUCUCAACAAUUCCUUCAAAAUAUUAGUACCCAAGGUCUCAUAUCAAAAAUAUCAAUCCAACCAAUUGGAGAUCUAUACACCUCCUCCCAUACAAUGCCUCAAAUGGGACCAUCCCAAUACUCUAAUGAUAAAUGUUAUUGUAUGUAAACUCUACUAACAACAAAACUAUUCCCAAGUGGACUCUUCAACUGACCGAUUCUCCAACUAGACCUUGACACAACCGUCAGGACAAAUAUUAUCUAACAUAACCAUGAUAAAAUCCUUAAUCAAUAUUGGCUACAAUCAGGAGUGAACCUGAACCAACCACCACACACUCAUAAUGCACAAGCCAUCAUAGAUCUUAUCAAGAUUACUUCCUCACAACAUAAUAUUUCCUCGAGCUUAAGCUAUAAAAAUAUGAUCUUUAGACAUCAAGUAAUCAUCAAGAAGAAUCGAACUCAUCUGAUCCAAAGAUGGAAAUGAUCAAGUACCCACCAUCGAGUGAUGCACCCAAGCAUACAGAACCUCUAACAACACUGUGAAAAUGCUAGAUUAGUAGCUAUUAUAGACAAACCUUAAGAAUGACAAAACUAGACCCAAUGGUCCUCACACUCAAUCACACAUAGCCAAAACAUGAUACCGAUGAUGAGAUAAAUCUUAAGUCUAUCGAACAGCUGUAAAUUUUCAUAGUAGCUCUCCUAUAAAUUCUCAUAAACAAAGUUGUGUGUGUUGGAUCACUAGAAUACUUCAACUAUUCCAAACAACACCAAAUCUUACAUAACUGGAAUGAACAAGUCUAACCAAGGAUGCAAUCCUACUAGGAGGACAAUCACAAAAUUGGUACACUCGAUCCACUACUAGGGACUACCCAUAGAAGCGAAAACAUACACGGACGUAGAAAGUGAAUCAUACUCUAAACCACGCCCAUAAUGAAGUAGUUGGUCACAUAAGAAUGUACAUAACCAAGGUCGAAUAAUAUAAUAUACCUAAUAUUUAAUUACCUAUCUCAAUAUAUUACAACUUACCUUGUAUUAUGAUAAUAAAAUAAUAUUAAUUAAAAAAGGAAGCUAACUGGUGAUGAACCAGUGGCGAGAACCAUGCUAACUCAUAGCACCUAUGCUAUAAGUAAUAACCUGACCUAUUCAAUUGUAUAAACUACACUUCACUGGAGUAUGUUGCCAACUUCAAUCUAUUACUAUAUGAUGGUAAUAACUAACUCAAUUGUCAAUCAUUAAUUGGUCAUUAAGAAGUCGUACAAUAAUGCCAAGAACUCACAUGAAUGACUAACCAAGUUUUCCAUACAAUUUUUAAUACAUCAACACUAACAAAAACAGCCAACCAAUAUUAGUAUCCAUUCUUCUCAAAUAACAAUUUCCUACACCACAUAUUAUAAUCAUUAGCAUUCAAUUAUUCCUCAAUUAUGUUACAAACCCACAACAAUUUAUCCCCACCAUUUUUAUAUACAUUUUUAUAUACAGAAGUUGUCAUAUCGUCCUUCUAAUUCAUUAUCCAAUUACACCCAUAUAUAUAUAUUACCUUCCCUAAUUAUUACAGCAACCUAACCUUUCAAACAUUAUUUGUUUUAUCUUACCCCCAAUCAUUACGUUCCUCAACUUUGCACCUUUCAAUUCUUUAAUAUUUUUCCACUAUUCAUCAUACAGACCUAAAUUCUCAUUUGGUUAGAGCUAUGGCUAUUGAACUUGGCGUUAGAGGUACGUACGUAAAAAAGUUUAUACCAACAAAAUGUAUGUGUCCUUGGUUAGUAAAAACACGAAUAAAUAAGUAGUUUCAUAUGAAAUUCACAAAAUAUUUAUAUUUAAUACUUGUACCACGAUGGAGCUAAAAUACUAUAAUAUAUAUAUAUAUAUAUAUAUAUAUAUAUCACAUCUAAUUAGAUUCGACUCAUAACAUAACACACUUUUUGAACUGCUUUGUCAAUAAAUAAAAUAUGUAUUAAUAUCAAAGGAGAUUAAUUCAACAAUUUAUAUAAUAAUAAUAUAUAGUUUUAAAAAAUUGUAUUUUAUAGUUUUAUUUCUUUGCCUUUGUUUGGUAAGUUAUUGAAAGUUCUCGAUGAGAUCCAAAAUAACAUCCUAAAUAAAAUCUUGAUUUCUUGCUUGAUACUCUUCAUAGAGAUCUCAAAUGAGGGAACUCUUAUUCGUAAUAGAUCUGAUCAAUUAUCCAUCCUACGUCCUCUACGUUUUUGACAAUCUAUCUUGGUUUUAGUAGAGUAGAUUCGUGAAUUCCAAAUCAUUAAUUCAUUGAACUUCUAAUAAUUGUUCUAUAUAUGCAGUAUUAUUUUUCGACAGAAGCUACUUUAAUUUAAUUUCAUAUAUAGUAUAUAAUAUGAAUAUAUUUUUUGUUUAUAUAUAGGAGGAAUAAAAUCUUCAGUGGAUAUUUCAGAGGAAGAGUGGGAAAACACUUUAAGAACAAAUUUGACAGGAUCUUGGUUAGUUUCCAAAUAUGUUGGAAGACAAAUGCAAGCUUCAAAAAAAGGAGGCUCAAUUAUUAAUAUUUCAUCUAUUUCUGGUUUAAAUAGAGCUUUAAUGCGUGGUGCUAUUGCUUAUAGUUCCUCUAAGGCUGCUAUGGAUUCUAUGACGUUCGUCGUAUCAAACACCUAUCGUACUAACUUUGUUUAUGAAAUUUGCAGAUAAUGGCAUUAGAAUUGGGAGAACACAAUAUUAGAGUGAAUGCAAUAGCUCCAGGUCUUUUCAAAUCAGAGAUUACUGAGAAUUUAGUGAAAAAAGAAUGGCUAAAAAAUGUAGCAAAAAGAAGUAUUCCACUUAAAACUUUUGGUACAACUGAUCCAGCAUUGACUUCACUAUUGAGAUAUUUGGUCCAUGAUUCUUCAAAUUAUGUAUGUGGCAAUAUAUUUAUUGUUGAUGCUAGUUACACACUACCUGGGGUCCCUAUCUUUUCUUCUCUCUAAGUUAUGCCGCUUGAUGAUCACUACAGUCAGACAUUUUUAUAACAAUCAUCUUCUGUAAGGAUAUGUCACUAUAAUAGUCAAAUUUCCUUUGGAAGCAUCCAUAAGAUAUUUGGGUAAAUGG